rnacentral:rRNA from 1 species
GACGAACGCUGGCGGCGUGCUUAACACAUGCAAGUCGAACGGAAAGGCCCUGCUUUUGUGGGGUGCUCGAGUGGCGAACGGGUGAGUAACACGUGAGUAACCUGCCCUUGACUUUGGGAUAACUUCAGGAAACUGGGGCUAAUACCGGAUAGGAGCUCCUGCUGCAUGGUGGGGGUUGGAAAGUUUCGGCGGUUGGGGAUGGGCACGCGGCUUAUCAGCUUGUUGGUGGGGUAGUGGCUUACCAAGGCUUUGACGGGUAGCCGGCCUGAGAGGGUGACCGGCCACAUUGGGACUGAGAUACGGCCCAGACUCCUACGGGAGGCAGCAGUGGGGAAUAUUGCACAAUGGGCGGAAGCCUGAUGCAGCAACGCCGCGUGCGGGAUGACGGCCUUCGGGUUGUAAACCGCUUUCGCCUGUGACGAAGCGUGAGUGACGGUAAUGGGUAAAGAAGCACCGGCUAACUACGUG